GUGAAAUUCUGUCCCCCCACAAAAAAAGAUGAACAAUCACAUAGUCAUAACCCAGUAAUUCUACUUGUAAAAAUAUACUCGAGAAAUUCUUGCAAAUGUACAACAGGACUUAUGCAUGAGACUAUUCCAAUAACAAAAACUUGGAAACAACACAAAUUUAUUGAAUGAAUAACUGUGGUACAUUCGCAUGAAGGAAUAUAUACAGUAGCUAAAACUAAACCCCAGUAACAUGAA
rnacentral:lncRNA from 1 species